GGCCUCCCUCUGUGGAGCGAUUGAUCGUGGGGCCCCCAGAUCGAUCGCCCCGUAGAGGGGGGCC
rnacentral:pre_miRNA from 1 species